GAAAACUUUAGGGGCUUUAGGGUUGUCAGACAAUUUGUGGGCUAAACCUAGCUCAAAUUCUACACGUUGGAGUAAAACGAGGCUUCAUUGAUAGAUGAUGGCUGCAAUCCACUCCCAGUUAAGCGGGGUCCGGUCAGGCCUCCGUCAGCUCCAAAAUGCCCUGGGGGAUGUGAUGGACAUCCAGAACUUUCUUUCUGGUAGAAGUCAGCAAUAACUGGAGGCAAAACAUUAACACCAUUGAGAACCUGAAGUACGUCAAAUAUGCUGGGACGCAACAUCAGCGGUGGCUCCUCAGAGGAGGAAAUGCCUGAGUUGGUGGCAGGACACUCCAUUAAUGAUAGAGCAAGCCGAGCUGUUGAAGGGCCACCACAAGCUGAUGAACCUGGAGUGCUCAUGGAAUGACUUCAUGUACGAUCAGUACAGGAUGGGCAGCAAGAACACACACAACAUGAACCUCAAUCCAACAAGAUUGUGUCCCUCCUCACCUGGGUCCUCAAUUAAAGGGAAACUUCACUGCUAGCCACUAUCUCCCUACAUCAUUUUAAGUGAUGAGAGGGUGUUCCUGACAUAAUUAUGCAGCAUAGAGGUAUUUUUGAAUUUUCGCAACGGCCUUUGUGUUACGCCGAUUGUACAAUCACACUAGCAGUGAGUAGAUAUGGUUGUCCUUGUUCAAUAGAGCCAUUGGACUUGUCUCAACGAUGUUCCUAUCUGACACAACAUUGCAGGAUAUCUAGGUUGACUCAUGUUCUCUGGCUUUUUUUAAUGUUCUUUUACAUACUAACAUAGGGACAUACUGCCCUAUUAAUUUGAGCCGAAAUACAGUGAAGAGGAGUUGAGACGGCGAGAACAAGAAUUGCGAGGCCAGCAAGCAGCGAUGGGGAGCCACGGGCAGACUUUGACCAGCGGUGCCUAUGUGGGUGCUGUCCAGCCACGCCGACAGAAGAGAAAUGUCUGUGCUGCAACUAAUUAGAUUGUGGACGGUUCAUACUGGAGAUGGUCACUGCAGACCCCAUGGAUUGUGUGUCUGAUACAGACCAUCAAAGUUUUGACGCAGAUAUGGAUAGAAGUGUGCUGGAGACAUUUUUCAGAACCUCCAAGAUCAAAUGGCGGCGGCAGCCUAGACCAGCGGGGUAGUACGUUGUUUUGCUGUUGGUAGCUACUAGCUAGCUAGUAAUAUAAGCUCUCUUUUCACAUGAGGCAGUGUUGUUCAGUACAGUAUAAUUUUGUGAUUGAUUCGGCCAUAUCGGGGCUUGCUAGUACCACUACAAGUUGAACUAGCUAGCUUUGUUUGCUAUACCCAAAAUGUCCCGUAGCCUAAUGUUAUCAUUAUCUAGCUAUUGUAAGCUAGCUAGCAAUGCUAGCCUCAGUGCAUCUUAUUAGUAGCAAAAAUGGAUAAAUGUUUUGAUGAUGAUGACGAAGAGUAAAGAAAUGACUUUGGAUUUAUGACUCAUAUUGGUCUACCUGUGUGUCUGUGAGAUUUGUAAUAUUCUGCAUCAUGAUGCUACAGUAGGAAUACAGACAGUACACAAUGAUUGGCCAUUAAAGUCUAAUAGUGUUUUGUCAUUCUCUUACAGACAAUACUGCUUGGUGAAAGAUUAUAUUUGGAGAUGGUUAUCGGUGUCGGAGAAGCUAGGCACAGAACACUGAAUUCCCUGAAAACAUUUCCGGCACCUACUUCAGUCCAAGUCAAGCACUGGUCUAACUGAAUGUGGAUGUUGUGUUGCCUGAAUGUUCCAGGCACAAUCCAGAAUGUUCUUCUGCUGGUGAACCUUGUCUUGUGUUGUGCAAUGGCAGCUGGUCUGGCAGAAGUUCAUGAGCUCAAUGACCUUGGACUCAUCGACUCAUAGAUUUCGGCUCUUGCCAGCCCCAUGCAGUCUUUUCCUCUUCCGAGUCAGAUGAUGUUGAGCUUGAGUUUUUUCCCGG
ensembl:lncRNA